GCCUGGGUGGCUGAGUCGGUUGAGCACUGGACUUCGACUCAGGUCAUGAUCUCAAGGUUUGUGGGUUUGAACCCCACAUCGGGCU
rnacentral:tRNA from 1 species